GUACACUCCUGCGGGAGGCAGCAGUGGGGAAUAUUGCACAAUGGACGCAAGCCUGAUGCAGCCAUGCCGCGUGUAUGAAGAAGGCCUUCGGGUUGUAAAGUACUUUCAGCGGGGAGGAAGGCGAUAAGGUUAAUAACCUUGUUGAUUGACGUUACCCGCAGAAGAAGCACCGGCUAACUCCGUGCCAGCAGCCGCGGUAAUACGGAGGGUGCAAGCGUUAAUCGGAAUUACUGGGCGUAAAGCGCACGCAGGCGGUCUGUCAAGUCGGAUGUGAAAUCCCCGGGCUCAACCUGGGAACUGCAUUCGAAACUGGCAGGCUAGAGUCUUGUAGAGGGGGGUAGAAUUCCAGGUGUAGCGGUGAAAUGCGUAGAGAUCUGGAGGAAUACCGGUGGCGAAGGCGGCCCCCUGGACAAAGACUGACGCUCAGGUGCGAAAGCGUGGGGAGCAAACAGGAUUAGAAACCCUAGUAGUCCC
rnacentral:rRNA from 1 species